UACGUAGGGUGCAAGCGUUAAUCGGAAUUACUGGGCGUAAAGCGUGCGCAGGCGGUGAUGUAAGUCAGAUGUGAAAUCCCCGGGCUCAACCUGGGAACUGCAUUUGUGACUGCAUCGCUGGAGUGCGGCAGAGGGGGAUGGAAUUCCGCGUGUAGCAGUGAAAUGCGUAGAUAUGCGGAGGAACACCGAUGGCGAAGGCAGCAGACUGGAGCACUCCUGACACUGAAACAAGAAAGCGUGGGUAGCGAAUGGG
rnacentral:rRNA from 1 species